rnacentral:tmRNA from 1 species
GGGGGUGUUUUGGUUUUGACAGCGCCAGUGUUGGACGGUAAGCAUGCCGGGCGUGGGAGCCUUGCCCGUAAAUCUCAGACUCCAAAAAAUCAGUUGCCAACAACAACUACGCACUCGCUGCUUAAUUCGCCCAAGGCAAUUAGCUUAAUCCGCCUCGCCAAGGCUGCGAGGCCGACGAGUAUCCCUCGGACCUUCCGCCUCUUAAGGGCCGAUCAAGGGGUAUCAUCCAUUUGAGGCUGCUCCGGCAGACGCUUUUAAAGCCGGCUAAGACUCAAAAGCUAAGGGUAGCUUCGCCCGCCUUCCGGCAGGGCUGCCUCGAAAACCAAAGGAAGGAUAAGCAUGUAGAAAGCCGCCUGGCAGGACGUUUGGACAGCGGUUCGAGUCCGCUCACCUCCACC